UACAGAGGUCCCAAGCGUUGUUCGGAUUCACUGGGCGUAAAGGGUGCGUAGGCGGUCGGGUAAGUCUGAUGUGAAAUCUCCAAGCUUAACUUGGAAAUGGCAUCGGAUACUAUUCGGCUCGAGGAAUGGAGGGGAGACGUGGAAUACUUGGUGUAGCAGUGAAAUGCGUAGAUAUCAAGUGGAACACCAGUGGCGAAGGCGAGUCUCUGGACAUCGUCGUGCACUGAGGCACGAAGCCAGGGGAGCAAACGGG
rnacentral:rRNA from 1 species